UACGUAGGGGGCAAGCGUUGUCCGGAAUUACUGGGCGUAAAGCGUGCGCAGGCGGUUUUGUAAGUCUGUCGUGAAAGCCCCGGGCUCAACCUGGGAACUGCAUUCAAAACUGACAAGCUAGAGUAUGGUAGAGGGUGGUGGAAUUUCCUGUGUAGCGGUGAAAUGCGUAGAUAUAGGAAGGAACACCAGUGGCGAAGGCGACCACCUGGACUGAUACUGACACUGAGGUGCGAAAGCGUGGGGAGCAAACAGG
rnacentral:rRNA from 1 species